rnacentral:lncRNA from 10 species
UCUGGACUGCAGCAUCAAUGGUUCCCUGGGUCUCCAGCUUGCCAGCCUGCUCUGUAGAUUUUAGACUUACCAGCCCCCAUCAUCAUGUGAUGUCCUGUGCUAUUUUGGGAUUCUGCAGCGUCCCAAAAGCAAGAAGACCCUCACCAGGUGUGGUCCCUCAGCCUUGGAUCCUCACCUCCAUAACUGCAGCUUCAAAGAUCACCAACUGUAAGAAACAGGAAGAGACUUUGAAGUAGAUAACUUCUUGUGUUUUUUUCACAUAUUCCCUGGUGGAAUUUUAGUUUUGUAUCAUGCUUUUCCAAGUUUUUCUCCAGAUGUUGUAUAGUUUUUUGUUUUUGUUUUUUUUUUUUUUUUUCCCGGAAAAGUUUAGACAUCUUGUACACAGACAUCAAGAUCUAAAAACGGAGGCGCCAGCUCUAUUUUACAAAAAUAUCUGAUAGUAUCUUAUUGAAGAAUGUUGGAAUCAUUCAAGCGACUGCUUCUAUCCAGUUUCCACGCUGUCUGAAGAUCCUCCUUGAAAUCCCAUGUAACCUUUAGUAUAAUGCCCACGUUAAGAAAAGUGGGUCAGUGAUUAAAGACAUAUUGAAUCAUGUUUCUGGCUUUUUGUGUUUAUAAAUUAUGUAUAUAAUUAUAAAUAUAGUAUUUAUAUAAAAAUAUAAAUGUAUACAUGUUUAUAUUUAUUAUAAAUUAUUAUAAAUAAUCAGUAAAACAUCAGUGGAC